AACGAACGCUGGCGGCAGGCCUCAACCAUGCAAGUCUAGGGGUGUAGCAAUACACACCGGCGGACGGGUGCGUAACACGUGGGAAUGUACCUACUGGUUCGGAACAACUGCGGGAAACUGCAGCUAAUACCGAAUGUGGCCUUAAGGAGAAAGAUUUAUCGCCAGUAGAUCAGCCCGCGUCCGAUUAGCUAGUUGGUGGGGUAAAAGCUCACCAAGGCGACGAUCGGUAGCUGUUCUGAGAGGAAGAUCAGCCACAAUGGGACUGAGACACGGCCCAGACUCCUACGGGAGGCAGCAGUUGGGAAUCUUGGACAAUGGGGGAAACCCUGAUCCAGCCAUGCCGCGUGAGUGAUGAAGGCCUUCGGGUUGUAAAACUCUUUCGACGGGGACGAUAAUGACGGUACCCGUAGAAGAAGCUCCGGCUAACUUCGUGCCAGCAGCCGCCGUAA
rnacentral:rRNA from 1 species